rnacentral:rRNA from 1 species
UACGAAGGGGGCUAGCGUUGCUCGGAAUCACUGGGCGUAAAGGGUGCGUAGGCGGGGUCUUUUUAAGUCAGGGGUGAAAUCCUGGAGCUCAACUCCAGAACUGCCUUUGAUACUGAGGAUCUUGAGUUCGGGAGAGGUGAGUGGAACUGCGAGUGUAGAGGUGAAAUUCGUAGAUAUUCGCAAGAACACCAGUGGCGAAGGCGGCUCACUGGCCCGAUACUGACGCUGAGGCACGAAAGCGUGGGGAGCAAACAGG